UCUACGGGAGGCAGCAGUGGGGAAUAUUGGACAAUGGGGGCAACCCUGAUCCAGCAAUGCCGCGUGUGUGAAGAAGGUCUUCGGAUUGUAAAGCACUUUCGACGGGGACGAUGAUGACGGUACCCGUAGAAGAAGCCCCGGCUAACUUCGUGCCAGCAGCCGCGGUAAUA
rnacentral:rRNA from 2 species